GAAACAUUUUUAUUGUGUACACUACAUUACUAAUAAAAUAAAUUGAUACAUUAAAAUGAUGGUCUUAUUCAUAUUUAACAGCUAAUUAAAUAUGUCGUUGUGAUUUGAAGAUUUAGUUAUUCUUGAACUUGGUAAUGAUGGAGAUAGUGAUAUAGAUGUAGAAGUCGAUGAACUAUUUGGUAAUGAAGAAAAUAUAGAGGAAGAGAAUGAAAUGAUCCCGUCCGAUAUAUUUACACAAAUAGAUUGGGACAUUGCGAAUUUUGUUUGUGAAUAAGGCUCUACAUUGGCAGAUAGAAAUGUAUCUGUAGACACAUCUUGUUUAAUUCAGAAGGGAAUGAUCUUUGACUAUAAGGAAGAUCUUCUGUUGGCUGGUAAGAGGUACUGUGUGACACAACACAAUGAAAUUGUUGUAGCCGAUUCAAACCAACAUUUGUGGAAUGUUCGAUGCAAACAGUGGAGUAAUGGCUGCAACUGGAGGUUACGUGCUACUAAGCGUAAGAGCCACAGAUUGUUUGAAAUCACUAAGCUCCAAGGAGAGCACUCGUGUCUAUACUCAAAUUUAACACAAGAUCACUCACAACUAGAUUCUAAUUUCACAAGUGUUCAAAUUCAAAAUAUAGUGAAAGUUGAUCCUAGUGUUACUGUGUCUGUGCUUGUGGAAAUCAUAAAACAACAAUAUGGUUACAAUGUUAAGUAUGGACGAGUUUGGCAAGCGAAGAAAAAAGCUGAUCUUUAGAGAUUGCUAGCCCAUUAAUAUUGUUGCAAGUAUAGGCGUAUGACAGAUUUUCUAUUCUGGCACCACAAGUACCAAUUGAGGUGUCAGUUGGUCGACCUUUGAGUUUCAGAUGGAGUGGUGUUAUACCAUUGUCAGAACUGUCAGCAAAUAUAUUGAUCACCUACCGAAUGUUUUUUGAUCGACUGAUCAACUCUCAGAUUAAUUGGACACCAUACACGCCUCACAUUAUGACAUUGCUUCCACAUCAAUGUCAUAACAGUCAAGCGAUGUGGACAUAUGUGGGUCCUAUGAUUUGCUUUCAUCUUGUUGAGAAGCAUCAAGCAGAUCGUGUAUUGCGACAGUUCCACAUGCUACAAAUGCCACCAGAGUUUUGCUCCACAGAUUAGGGCCUACACCAAAUUGAUUUAAGAGGCAAGCACGAUCAAGAUUGGGUAGGAUUCAUGUGGAGCAUAUAGCAAUGUGGCAUUCACGAAAUAAUUUUUAUACCGAAGCAGAAGCAACACAGAAGCUGACAGUAUCAGAUAACUAUUUUUCCUAGUACACGUCGAUUACCAGACGCUUCAUGACACCUGAUGGUGCUUACUGUUAUCGCAUAGUAAUAAUUUUAAUAUGAUUUAUAAAUUUAAUACAAGCAUGGACAUUUUUUAAUUAUAUUAUUUACAAUCGUUCAGAAUAAUUUUGUUGAAGACGUAUGUCGAGUCUCCAUGGAAAACAAUUUUAAAAUUUUUAGACCAA